rnacentral:lncRNA from 1 species
GAAAUGGCUAGAAACAUCAUUUCAUUUCAUGGUUUAUUUAGACAAGGUUUUAGAUUUUCUUUUAAUAAUGAGAAUGGUUCUAUUUUGGCUUAUCUAAAUGGUGUCUUUUACUUUGAAGCUAUACCAUGUAAUGGAAUUUAUGAAACUGUUAUGAUUGUUGAUAACUUAGGAAAUGAUGUUUUGAACAUAGAUUCUUCCACUAGUAUGGAUAAAGCAUCCUUGUGGCAUUGUCGUCUUGGACAUGUCAACAAGAAACGCAUAGCCCAACUCCAAAAGGAUGGAGUGUUGGAGUCAUUCGACCUUAGGGAAGAUGACACAUGCGAGUCUUGUUUACUUGGAAAGAUGACUAAGUCACCCUUCACGAGUACGUGUGAAAGGGGUGAGGGUCUAUUGGACCUAAUACAUACCGAUGUAUGUGGACCGUUUAGAUCAACCACGAAGGAUGGGAACCGCUUCUACGUGACUUUUACCGAUGACUAUAGUAGAUAUGGGUAUAUCUAUUUAAUCAAGCAAAAGUCAGAAACCUUUGAAAAGUUCAAAGAGUUCAAGAAUGAAGUGGAGAAUCAAUUGGGCAGGAAAAUCAAGAUGCUUCGAUCCGAUCGAGGAGGAGAGUACCUAAGUCUUGAAUUCCACGAUUAUCUCAAGGAGUGUGGAAUAGUUUCACAAUUGACGCCUCCUAGGACACCGCAGUUGAAUGGUGUGGCAGAAAGGCGUAAUCGAACCUUAUUGGAUAUGGUUCGCUCUAUGAUGAGUCGUGCUUCACUACCUAUCUCUUUUUGGGGGUAUGCCUUAGAGACUGCCGCCCAUAUCCUUAACCGAGUCCCUACUAAGAAGGUUGCCAAAACACCUCACGAGAUGUGGACAGGGAAAGCUCCCUCGUUGGCACAUAUCAAGGUUUGGGGUUGCGAGGCUUUCGUAAGACGAGAUACUCACGACAAGCUUGAACCUCGAAGUGAGCGAUGUAUUUUCAUCGGCUACCCGCAGACAUCCUUUGGAUAUCUCUUCUAUAGACCGAAGGACAAUGUUGUCUUCGUUGCGAGGAGAGGAGUUUUCCGAGAGCGAGAACUCAUAAGCCAAGGAGACAGUGGGAGGCAAAUCGAACUUGAAGAGAUUCAAGAGUCGAUAGAUGAAGGAACCUCUACCGCUGGCACUCAACCCGAGGAGGAAACUCCGGUUGAACCGAUUGACGAAUCCUUACCUCUUAGACGUUCCGAUAGAGUUAGAGUUCAUCCCCAGUUUUAUGGUUUUCAUAUUACUACCGAAGGGGACACGUAUAUUAGUGAUGGUACACUAGUAAAUCUUGAUGAACCUAAUAGCUAUAAGGAAGCCAUGGCAGGCCCGGAGUCUGCAAAAUGGAAAGAGGCAAUGGAUAGCGAGAUCCAAUCCAUGUAUGAUAACCAAGUUUGGAAUUUGGUUGAUUAUGUGCCCGGACGUAAGACCGUUGGGUGCAAAUGGAUCUUCAAGAAGAAGACCGACGUGGAUGGAAACGUACACACAUAUAAAGCGCGAUUGGUUGCGAAGGGCUUUACUCAAACUCCCGGAGUUGACUAUGAUGAGACCUUCUCACCAGUUGCGAAGAUUAAAUCUAUUAGAGUGAUGCUAGCUAUUGCCGCAUUUCAUGAUUAUGAGAUUUGGCAAAUGGAUGUCAAGACCGCUUUCCUUAACGGAAAGUUGGCUGAGGAUGUUUACAUGGCUCAGCCAGAGGGGUUUGUGGAUCCGAAGCAUCCGGAUAGAGUGUGUAAGCUUGAGAAGUCCAUUUAUGGACUUAAGCAAGCGUCUCGCAGAUGGAAUCUUUGCUUCGAUGAGAAAGUCAAAGAGUUUGGAUUUGUACGAAGCGAAGACGAAUCUUGUGUAUAUGUCAAAGCCAGUGGGAGUAUAGUAAGCUUCCUCGUUCUAUAUGUCGAUGACAUAUUACUCAUAGGAAACGACAUCCCGACUCUGCAGGAGGUUAAGUCCUGGCUCGGGAAGUGCUUCGCUAUGAAGGACCUCGGAGAGGCUUCUUACAUUUUGGGAAUAAGGAUAGUAAGAGAAAGAAGUAAGAGACUAAUUGGACUUAGUCAGAAUACUUACUUAGAGAAGGUACUAAAACGUUUUAGUAUGGAAAACUCAAAGAAGGGAGAACUACCGAUACAAAGUAAUGCCAAAUUGAGUAAGACUCAAAGUCCGAGUACCGAAGCUGAGAUAGCAGAAAUGAGCCGAGUACCAUACGCUUCCGCAGUUGGCUCAAUCAUGUACGCUAUGACUUGUACUCGCCCUGAUGUAGCCUUCGCUUUGAGCAUGGUUAGCAGAUAUCAAGGGAAUCCUGGCAAAGCACAUUGGAUUGCGGUGAAGAAUAUCCUUAAGUACCUUCGGAGGACGAAGGAAUGGUUCUUAGUCCUCGGAGGGAGUGAUGACUUGAAGGUGCGAGGGUAUAGUGACGCCAGUUUUCAGACCGACAGGGACAACUACCGUUCGCAGUCGGGCUGGGUCUUUACCCUAAAUGGAGGAGCAGUGACAUGGAAGAGUUCCAAGCAGGAAACCGUAGCUGAUUCAACGUGCGAAUCAGAGUACAUUGCAGCGAGCGAAGCGUCGAAGGAGGCAAUAUGGCUAAAGAACUUCAUCGGUGAUCUUGGAGUUGUACCUGCCAUAAAGGAGCCAAUGGAGAUUUUCUGUGAUAACGAAGGCGCGGUUGCCUUAACCAAGGAACCGAGGGAUCAUGGUAGAUCAAGACAUAUCGACAGAAAGUAUCACUUCAUUAGACAUCGUGUAGAAGAAGGACAACUCGUAGUGAAGAGGAUAUCAUCAGAAGAUAACCCAGCAGAUCCGCUUACGAAGGGACUGAGUAGGGUUAAGCACUUGCAGCAUGCUAGGAGUAUUGGGCUGAAGGAUGAUAUUAGCAUAGAUUAGAUAGUAUUAGAAACGUGUAAUAGAUAAAUGUAAUUAACAUUUGAUGAUUAAAUAAAGGAGUUUUAUUUAUGAGUAAUGUUACUAUCUUAUGUUAAUUGUUUAGCUAUUGUUUCACUUUGCAUGUUUUGACUUCCAGAAUAAUUGAGUUUAUUAGGAAUAAUCGAAUUGUUCAAAUGGUCCACAAUCGUUCAUAUGUUGGGAGUAGAUAUGAAUGAAGAUUGUCAUGAAUUGGUGUGUAGAAUGUCUAAAUGGUGUUAGACAUAGCAAAGGAUUGCUGCAACGUUCAUGAGUGCUUAUGAACUAGUUUUGAGCAUUGGAAUAAACCCGCGCUUGCUGGAAUCACCUUAUGGAAUACGAUAUAAAAGGUGAUCGCAAGACGAUAAUAUCAUAUAGUCUUAAAACCUAGAUAUAUGGUUUAUUAUUUGUUAAUUGAUUGUACAUUGAUAAUACGAAAACGCAUCAGUAACUUGGUGUUAUAAAACGUAUUGUUGUGUAUAGUUGGUAAAUGAAUAAGUAAAUGCAUAUAAGUCGAAGUUUAUCUGUAACUUUUAUCUAAGAAGGUAAAAGCGAUAUCUCGGCCGCUCGAUGAUUUGAUUUGACUUAUGUGCCGGGCCCGGUCAGAACUGAAUUGAUGUGUUCGAUUAAGUUCUAUGUCAAAUAAAUCAGAGAUCGAGAAACCUAAAUGCUUGACUAACCAUUCCAUAGGAUUGUCAGCAUGAUAUCUAACAGAGGACUGUACGUUCCCUUAUCUAAAGGACAAGAUUGAUUAGAUCAGAGUUGACAGCGUCUUUGAGAGCUACGAUUGCAAACCGAAUUGUACUUGUAUAGUUACUAGACUUAUCCAAGUGGGAGACUGUUGGAAUAGUGUCUAAGGCUGUAACUAUAUUAGGCAAGUAUUUGAUCCGGUUGUGCAUGGUCCUUUUGGGUUGCCUUCACCAUAGCAACUUGAUAGGAUGAUUUAUUAAGAGAGAGUAAAUAUUAUUAAUAUAUUAUGAGAAUAAUAUAAUGAAUAAUAUAUUUGUUAUUUGAUUAAUAUAAGUCAUAGAAUUAAUUAGAAUUAAUUUGGUGACUUAAAGAGAUUAAUUAAAUAAAGGGGUAUAAACUGUCAAUUGUUUGAUAGUUAAGCUUUAGACUGUAAAUCCAUUUGGAUAUGCUAUGGACGAAUUCUAAGAGGAUUAGGAUAGCUAAAAUCGUCCAUUAGAGUUAUCUAGGAAUGGAUUUGGAUAGCCUUAAGAGAAGAUUAUCUGAUAGGGACUUAUCUGUAAUCCUUAAGGAGUCUACAAGUAUAAAUAGACCCCAUGGCAUAGGGAAUUCGACACUUCUGAAAAAGCAAGAGAACUCUGGUCGAAUUCCUCCCCUCUCCUCUCUCCUAAAUCAUUCUUAUUGCUAUUGGUGUUUGUAAGCCAUUAGAGGAGUGACACUUGUGACUCUAGAAGCUCCAAGACCUCAAGAUCAACAAGGAACUCAAAGGUAUGAUUCUAGAUCUGUUUCAAUGUUGUUAUUUAACCUAAUUAGUCAUUAGAAGACUUGGAUUCAAUGCAUGUUUAUUAGAAAGCCUAGAUCCAAGCAUUAGGGUUUUGCAUGCGCACAUAGGAAAGUUCUUAUGGCUAAAACCCAUCAGUGGUAUCAGAGCCUAGCUUGGUUUUCUUUAAAUUGUUGCUUGAUUAACUGAAACAAACCUGCAAAAUUCGAUUUUUUGGUUUCUGAGUCAUGGACUCGGCGAGUCCCAAAGUGGACUCGGCGAGUAGGCCUGACUCGGCGAGUCCAUUUGUGCACUCGGCGAGUCCAGGCGUCAGGAAUGGCCAGAUUCGGGAUUUCUUUGUGUUUAUCUUAUCUUAACUUACCAUAAACUAAUUAGAUCAACAUUAAUUCGUUUUUCUGAUAAAUAUAACUAUUAUCUUGAUCUAGUUAAAGGUAAUUAUCAACUAAUUAAAUAUUUAAUUUCCUUAUAUGAUAAUUAAUUAAUUAUUUUAAUUAUUUUGGUAAUUAUCUUAAAAAGAAAUCUUGAAUAAAUCAAAUAUAGAUAAUUAGGAUAUUAAUUGUUAAUUGGAAUUAUUUGUUAUUUGAUCCUCCAUGUUUUAAAUGUUUAAAACCUACCCUCAUGUUUUGAAAUUUACUUUUGUGAUUAAAAGUUUUAAUUUAGACAACUUAAAUUUCAAACCCUAGAUUUUAAAAGUUUUAAAAUACAACCCUAUACUAAUAUGAUAUUACUAGAAUAAUAUAUAUAUGUAUAACUAAAUGCUAGUCUUACCGUUAGUAGGCCUCAUUCACGAAGCCGAUCUAUAAGGUGGGUAUAAGGUUGCGGCCUAUAAAAUGGCGCUUAAUGGGUGUACACUCACACCCACCGCUUGCUUGAUUGGUGGAGGGUCGUUAGCCGAACGGGUAGGAUAGGGCAACCUCAUCCUCUCAUUAAAAGUAUAAUAAGAAAUACAAAGUAACUACACAUAUUUUAAAAUUUCCCAAUCCUAGUUACUUUAGGAAAAGUGAAUUGAUGCAAUCCCAUGAAAUUACACUUUGCACCUUGCUAAGAUGUUAGUGGAGCGUGUGUGGUUUACCGGCACACUAAUUGGUUCUAAGCGAAGGUGGCAAAGGGUGAUUCAUUGUUUAUCAUAGUUCGAUGGAGCGUGUGUGGUUUACCGGCACAUCGAAUAGGUGAUCGUUACAAUGAAGGCACCAUGUGAAUUUGCAUGGUAAUUCACACCCGCUUUGUGAUCCUCGGCAUCCCAGUCACAAACAAGAGGGGCAUAUCGAGAUUUAAACAUGCCAUUGAAUAGUUUCAAUGAAUCUCAUCCGAACCUAGGAAUUCUCAAAAACACUUAGGACUAAUAGUUUAAGUUUUGUGAUGGAGAAUUAGUGAAUCGUCAUUCACUUACCUUCAAUUUAUUUGCAUGUUAGAUUACGGCAUCCCUUUUCUAGUAUGUAAAUGUUAUUGUUGGAUCCUAGCCCUAAUUUUCUUAUUGGGUGAUAAUUAGGGAUUCUUAUUCUAAUCUAUCUUUGUCCUUUUCUAAUUGUAGAUGUCGAACGCAAACAACGCUGCUGCUAGUUCUUUCACGUUGAUGAGCCUUUGCCAAAAGGUCACCUUCGAUGGAACGAACUUUAGCGAAUGGAUAAGAUACAUUCGCACCAUUGCUCGCUAUGAGGAUAAGGAGUAUGUCCUCGAUGAGAAGCUCGAGAAAAUCAACCCCGAAAUCGCUACUCCGGCCGAAAUCACCGCUUUUGAGACUCAUGAGCGAGAUGCAACGAAGGUACAUUGCAUCAUGAUCGCCACCAUGAACUCCGAAUUCCAAAAGUCCUACGAGGACAUGUACCCGUACGAGAUGCACCAAGACUUAUUGGAGAGGUACCACCAAAACGCGAGACAAGAGAGGUACGAGAUUUUCACUAACAUGAUUUCCGCGAAGAUGGGUCAUGGAGAAUCUCUUACCGUGCACUUGCAAAAGAUGCAAAGGUAUGUCGACCGCCUUCGCAAGUUAAAUGUUGACUUCGGUGAGGAUUUGGCGAUCGACAUGGUGCUUCACUCUUUGCCUCCGAUGUACAAUCAAUUUAGGAUGACCUACCACAUGAACAAAGAAGAGGUCACCCUAAGCAAGCUCCAAGGUCUCUUGAGGGUUGCUGAGAGCAACUUCAAAGACAAGUCUGUUGCACCUACUCCCAAUCCGCCCGCUGCUCCUGUCUUGGCUAUUGGACAAGGGAAGGGAAAGAAGAGGAAAGCUUCAUCGAAGAACUAUCGCAAGGUGAAAGCCCGAGAUGGUGCCUCUUCUAGUGGGACCAAAGUUGAUCCCGCUAAGCCCUGCUCUAACCCGAAGGAGGCAGAGUGCCACCACUGCCACAAGAUAGGACAUUGGAAGAGAAGCUGCCCGGAUUACCUGCAAGCAAUCAAAGAAGGAAAGAUCAAGCCAUCUUUCGCAGGUAUAUAUACAAUCAAAUCUAACGAUUCUAAUCAUGCUAUUUCUUGGGUUCUUGAUACCGGUUGUGGUUAUCACAUUUGUUCUAAUGUGCAGGGACUAAGAAGAAGUAGGGAUGUGGAGCAAGGAAGGAUCAAUCUAAUCAUGGGGAACAGAAGAUCGUCGCCUGUGACCAAGAUUGGAGUGUAUUCCUUAGUGCUUAGGAAUAGUUUAGUUUUAGAUUUGAACAAUUGUUGCUAUUCGCCAGAAAUGGCAAGAAACAUCAUUUCAUUUCAUGGUUUAUAUAGACAAGGAUUUAGAUUUUCUUUUAAUAAUGAGAAUGGUUCUAUUUUGGCUUAUCUAAAUGGUGUCUUUUACUUUGAAGCUAUACCAUGUAAUGGAAUAUAUGAAACCGUUAUGAUUGUUGAUAACUUAGGAAAUGAUGUUUUGAAUAUUGAUUCUUCCACUAGUAUGGAUAAAGCAUCCUUGUGGCAUUGUCGUCUUGGACAUGUCAACAAGAAACGCAUAGCCCAACUCCAAAAUGAUGGAGUGUUGGAGUCAUUCGACCUUAGGGAAGAUGACACAUGCGAGUCUUGUUUGCUUGGAAAGAUGACUAAAUCACCCUUCACGAGUACGUGUGAAAGGGGUGAGGGUCUAUUGGACCUAAUACAUACCGACGUAUGUGGACCGUUUAGAUCAACCACAGCCCGUACUGCCUUUUGAAAUGCUAUAAGUUCUUUCUUCCUUCCUCCGUUGAGGGAUGAUAAUUUUCCCAACUGUGACCUAAAAAUGUGAAUCGAAACUAGUUACCAUCGGGGUGUCCCCCUGGUUCACGAAUCCUUGCACAUUGGUGCUCUCCGUGCCUAAUCCUCUUAGUUUUAAUGUUGGAUUUCUAGGAUUUCGUGGGUCUCCUUAGUCUAAAACCCAGUUUGGCAUCGGUCCUUUUUUGGCUAGGGUCUCUAAAAGGGACCCUGCGGUGCAUGAGAUGUUUUUCAGUAUAUGUGAAAGUGAAGAAAAAUAGAGUGCAACUCCUCAAGAGUAAAUACAUGCAGCUGUCUAAUCCUGGAGACCUUAGGAUUUUUAUCGACUUCAGAAUUCACUUGGAAUUAUGAAUGGGUUUUGUCUCCAUGUGUUGGUGAAAUCGAUACAAUUUUGUAACAGAGUGGAUGGAUGGGGUUCUAUCAGGUGAUUCAAUGUUGAAUCCAACUACACUUGGAGUCUUU